AUGAACGCUGGCGGCGUGCCUAAUACAUGCCAGUCGCGCGAACAGACGAGGAGCUUGCUCCUCUGACGUUAGCGGCGGACGGGUGAGUAACACGUGGCUAACCUACCUAUAAGUCUGGGAUAACUUCGGGAAACCGGAGCUAAUACCGGAUAAUAUAUUGAACCGCAUGGUUCAAUAGUGAAAGACGGUUUUGCUGUCACUUAUAGAUGGAUCCGCGCCGCAUUAGCUAGUUGGUAAGGUAACGGCUUACCAAGGCAACGAUGCGUAGCCGACCUGAGAGGGUGAUCGGCCACACUGGAACUGAGACACGGUCCAGACUCCUACGGGAGGCAGCAGUAGGGAAUCUUCCGCAAUGGGCGAAAGCCUGACGGAGCAACGCCGCGUGAGUGAUGAAGGUCUUCGGAUCGUAAAACUCUGUUAUUAGGGAAGAACAAAUGUGUAAGUAACUAUGCACGUCUUGACGGUACCUAAUCAGAAAGCCACGGCUAACUACGUG
rnacentral:rRNA from 1 species